GUGCUACCGAGGGCGUCUUUACCCAGAUCUCCUCACGCCGGUGCGCAUGGCGACUCCUGCCGCUGGUUCCGCCUGCCGGUCGCGACGACGUAAACGAACAGAGCAUGUGCUUGCGGCGGAGGAUGCUCUCUCGCUCCCGCGGAACGCUUGCCUCGCCCGCCGCCACGGACAAGGCAACAAAAUGGAGCAUAUUCCAGAAGGAUUUAUUUUGCACAUAAAAGUGAUGGCUUGGGCCUUCGGCACCAUGGCGGCAUCAGUUUGCACGUUGUCGCUCCACUUGUAUUGCUGGUUGCAAAGAAAGGUGCGAACAGUCCAUUAGGAGGUGAAACUUAAGCACUAUAUAGUGAAAAUUUCCCUAGCAUUGUGCAAGCUGCUGCUGUUGCAUUUAAAUCGGUUUGUCCAAAUCGACAGUCCGAGGCUCCAAUCGAUGCAGUCGCGACCCCGCCUCUAUCAGCUCACCACCCAACCAGUUACACUCAGUUAUGUGACAGUUUUGAUUCAUUCUACAGAAUUAUUGGAACUCUGGAAUGACCAAAUCCCAAUUCUGCUUCAAAGGUGAGUACUGCACGAGCAAGUCAAAUUUAUUGGGACGUAGAAGAGGUAGCAAGCACAUCUAGCAGCCGGAGACAAGCAACAGUUUGUUCCCCAACAGCAACAGCAAUCCUGUUUUGUCUGGCGAAUAGUGGCGAUGGCAUCAUCCACGUCUGUCGAACUGGUGGACACUUACAGCAGGGAAAACACACAACAGCAUUGGUACACUUUUGCUCUGAGCUGUUGCAAGAAUUAACUGCUCUG